UACGGAGGGAGCUAGCGUUAUUCGGAAUUACUGGGCGUAAAGCGCACGUAGGCGGCUUUGUAAGUUAGAGGUGAAAGCCUGGAGCUCAACUCCAGAAUUGCCUUAAGACUGCAUCGCUUGAAUCCAGGAGAGGUGAGUGGAAUUCCGAGUGUAGAGGUGAAAUUCGUAGAUAUUCGGAAGAACACCAGUGGCGAAGGCGACUCACUGGACUGGUAUUGACGCUGAGGUGCGAAAGCGUGGGAGCAACAGGGAUUAAGA
rnacentral:rRNA from 1 species